AAGCCUCUAAGCUUCAGCUGUACGAGACCGUACCGCAAACCGACACAGGUGGACGGGAUGAAUAUUCCAAGGCGCUUGAGAGAACUCGGGAGAAGGAACUCGGCAAAUUGGUACCGUAACUUCGGGAGAAGGUAUACCCCGGUAGUGUGAAGCGCCUGCGCGCUUAGCAUGAUGGGGUCGCAGAGAAUCGGUGGCUGCGACUGUUUAUUAAAAACACAGCACUCUGCAAAGACGAAAGUCGACGUAUAGGGUGUGACGCCUGCCCGGUGCCGGAAGGUUAA
rnacentral:rRNA from 1 species